CUUGAGCACGAGCCAAUGCGGCGCCUCCUCCUCCUCCUUCUCCAGCUGCCCGGGUUUUAGCGGGGCUCGCUCGCCUGCCUCCCUCCUUCGGCUCCUCUUCCUCCGGCUGCGGCUCUGCCUCCCGCGGGGGCCAUGCAGUCCCUCAUCUCGCCGGUGACCAAGGCGAUUCUGGUGGCCCUCUUCAUCUUCGCCAUUCUGCUCAUCCUCUACGUGAUCCUCUGGUACAUCUGCCGCGACGUGGACUGCGACCAUGGCAUCUGAGCGGGCAUGCCGGGCCCGGGCUUAGCGCGGUCAGAGAGGGAGAGGGAAAGGGAAAAGGAGAGCUCCCCGCCCCAGAAGUAUUCUCUCCUGACGUUUUGACCACAUCUAUGGCAGGCAUCCUCAGAGGUUGUGAGGUAUGGAUAAACUUAGGCAAGGAAAGGAAAGAAUAUAUAUCUGUGGAGAGUCCAGGGUGUGGCAAGAGUCCUUUGUCACUGGGAAGCCAACAUUAAUGUUUCAGUUAAUCACCCUAAUUAGCAUUGGAAAGAUUUUGUCUCUUGCCUGGGGGGCAUCCUUUGUUCAGUCAUUAGCUGCCCUCUGCCCUCAGAGUGUUAGUUCCCAUCUACUGUUUUGAUUUUAGAGUUUUUUAAUACUGGCAGCCAGAUUUUGUUCAUUUUCAUGGUUUCUUCCUUUCUGUUGAAGUUGUCCACAUGCUUGUGGAUUUCAAUGGCUUCUCUGUGUUGUCUGACAUGAUAGCUGUUGGAGUGGUCGAGCAUUUCUGUGUUCUCAAAUAAUAUACUGUGUCCAGGCUGGUUCAUCAAGUGCUCUGCUAUGGCUGAUUUCUCUGGUUGAAUUAGUCUGCAGUGCCUUUCAUGUUCUUUGACUCUUGUUUGGGCGCUGCGUUUGGUGGUCCCUAUGUAGACUUGUCCACAGCUACAUGGUUUCCGGUAGACUCCUGCAGAGGAGAGAGGAUCCCUCUUGUCUUUCGCUGACCCCUCUGAACCCCCCCCCCCCUCUCUCUCACACAUAUAUGUUGAUGAAAAGCUAGGAUAGAUUUUCUGUGUGCUUUCUUGAGUUCUUUGAAGGAAAAGAAAAACAGAAAAGUAAUUCGUAAUUGAUAUAAAUGUCCUAAAAACCAUUAGCUAUAAUUCAGGCUUUGUCAGAGCAAAGGACAUGCUAACUUCUUUCUAGACAGAGGCUUUCAUGUCUUUCACAGCUAUCUAUAGCAGAGAAAUGGUUCAGGUUCAGGUUUUGGUUUUUCCAUGUUGUAGCAUUAGUAACACUUGUUGAACUUUUCCCUUUUAUUCAGUUUCUAAAUGCACAGAAGUAAAAGAGUUGGCAAUUUGCCUUUUCGUGGUCAGUGGUCAGUGUAUAAAUCAGAAGCAGAAAGAAGAACUAGGCUUUGAAAUGCAAACGUGAACUUUAAAUUCUGCUUUAAACAUCUUUUCUGUUUUAUAUGUACGCAGGCUUGGUAAGACGUCAAUCCUUAUAUAAUCUGAAACUGCUGUAAAAAGGAUUAGAGCUACCAUACAUUGAAGCAUACCAUUUUAUUCGAACUUUCUCAUACUGCUACUCAGUACUAUAACCUGUGUUAUAUCCACCACUAUUAGUAUUUGGGUAAAUGCGAAUAGUUACAGGAAAUACAAGCAAUGAAGAAUAAUGAAUAGCUUUGUGUUUUUCAAUCUAAAUCUAUCUAAUCUAAUCAAUCUAAAUCUAAAUCUAAUCUAAAUCUAAAUCCAUAAUAAAAGCGAAAACCCGUAUGUGUGUAUGUGGCACGGAUGUCUGCUCACACAGACAGCCUCCGGCCUCCACAAACAGGCUAUACUUCCCACUCCUGAGAACCCAGCAAGUCACUCUUUUCCACCCUCAUGACCUACUGAACAUACUGCAGGUAUUUGUGGGAACGGACCUUGAUUUUGGGAGUUGUAGUUCACCUCCAUCCAAAGACCACUGAACCCAGCCAAUGAUGAAUCUAGACCAAACUUGGCACACAGACUGAAUAUUGCCUGCUGUGGAUACUGAUAGAUAUUUCGGGGCAAUUAGCCCGGGAAUCUGGAAAUUGCAGUAGUUCACCCCCAUCCAGAGAGUACUGCACCACACCUGGUACACAUGCCCAAAAUGUAUAAUACUAGCAGGGUUUCAGGAGGAUUCAGCCACGAUUCUGGGAAUUGUAGUUCAUCCACUCCAAACACAAAACAUAACAUUAAAAGACAAAUACGUAAUACCAUUCUCAAAUGACCCGGGCAUCGCCGGGUCCCCAAGCUAGUAUAUAAUAAAGGGAAAAUUUGGCUUUCAGCAGUUAUAUUUAGAAUAUUAAAUACCUAAGUAUAUUAGGCAGUAGUCCUAGGCAAAUUUACACUAGGGAGUAAGUCUCACUUUAGUCAGCAGAAAAUACUCCUGAGUAUAUGCUUGAGAUUGGACCGUUACGUAUCUAGUGUGCAGUCCUAUCCUGAUCAAACAGUUGCAAAGCAUCAACUAAUUUAAUUGUAGCAGGACUGUAGCUCUUCUGACAAAUUUUUAGUACACAUGCCAUUCAUUGUUAUCUUUUUGAUUAAGAAGUGGAGGAUUUGUUGGAAACACUAACUUUGAGUGAGUCACAUAUUCUCAGUAUCAGAAAACAACGUAAUAGAUUCACUUUAGGGUCAUCAUAAGUCAGAAAUGGUAUGACUGCAGCCCUUCUGACUGUAGUAACAGAUUAAACACAUCGAAAUGCAUAUAACAAAUACCAUAGUUCCAUUUAUUUCAGUGGGUCUUCUAUGGGUCAGAUUACACUAUGUAACACAAUUUGAAAAAAGUAUGUUCCUGGUUUUAAGUGGUUAUUUUUUGUUUAACUGUGUGGUACUUAACUUUAAAAGUACUGUAGUUGUUAUACUCCAGAAGCUUUUUUUCUGUGACUGUCACAAACUAUGUUGGAUUAGUUGAGACUCUAUGAGAUAUUCAUUGAAAAACUAUUAGCAAAAUGUGCUGCAGGAUGUUUUGCAAAAACAAAAUUUUUGCAGUUUAAUAAACUUUGUCAUGUUUUUAUAACAGAACCAAUUACGAAAUGACAAUAACCCAGGAACAAAAAUCAUGGUACAUAGUGUUAUUGUUAAAUUAAGGCUCAUAGCAAGAAAAUUAGUAAUGCUGGCACAUUCUUUUCUUAAAAUGCCUUGCUAGAAGUAUUUUGUCUUUAAGUCUUUAAUAAAAUCCCAUACCUAAAACUUG
rnacentral:lncRNA from 1 species